rnacentral:rRNA from 1 species
UACAGAGGUCCCCAAGCGUUGUUCGGAUUCAUUGGGCGUAAAGGGUGCGUAGGCGGCGCGGUAAGUCGAGUGUGAAAUCUCGGAGCUUAACUUCGAAACUGCAUUCGAUACUGCCGUGCUUGAGGACUGGAGAGGAGACUGGAAUUUACGGUGUAGCGGUGAAAUGCGUAGAUAUCGUAAGGAAGACCAGUGGCGAAGGCGGGUCUCUGGACAGUUCCUGACGCUGAGGCACGAAGGCCAGGGGAGCAAACGGG